rnacentral:misc_RNA from 1 species
GUCGAAUCCUGNAUAGCAGAACAACCNGAGAACCGGUUAACAACCAGUUGGNAGACGACGGGGGCAUCGCCCCUUGCGCUCACAAACCCCGCUUGCUGUGGGUAGCCCCACCGGGUCCACAGCACGCGGGCAUCAACGAAACCCGGCACGGAACGUGCCAAGGAACUCGAAUAAGAGAAGCGCAGUCUCGGCACCCCCGUUCGCGGGGUGUGUYGUGAUCAAGCGCAAUCUUUUCUAUCAAUAUC